GCCCACCUGCUGGAACAGGUAGACAGACCCGGUCGAGGGCCGGGUGUCCUGCGGGACGUGAGGGUUCGACUCCCUCGGUGGGCA
rnacentral:tRNA from 1 species